UACAGUCAUACAGCAUUGAAACACUGGUUUUCAUACAAUCACUGAAGUUAAGUAAUGUCAAGCCUGGUCAGUACCUAGAUGGGUGACUGCUUGGGAAUACCAGACGCUGUAA